rnacentral:ribozyme from 13 species
ACAAAAUAAAAAGAAGAAACCUUAUCGAACCAAUUCGAUGUGACAUUGCUGUCUUCCCCACCCUUCCUCUUCUGUUUAUUCUUCUUCUUCUUUUUAUUCUUUCUCU